rnacentral:rRNA from 1 species
GGCGGCGUGCUUAAUACAUGCAAGUCGAACGAAGCACUUACAGCCGAUCCCUUCGGGGUGAAGCAGUUUGUGACUUAGUGGCGGACGGGUGAGUAACGCGUGGGUAACCUGCCUUAUGCAGGGGGAUAACAGUUAGAAAUGACUGCUAAUACCGCAUAAGCGCACAGCACCGCAUGGUGCAGUGUGAAAAGAUUUAUCGGCAUAAGAUGGACCCCGCGUCUGAUUAGGUAGUUGGUGAGGUAACGGCCCACCAAGCCUACGAUCAGUAGCCGACUUGAGAGAGUGAUCGGCCACAUUGGGACUGAGACACGGCCCAGACUCCUACGGGAGGCAGCAGUAGGGAAUAUUGCACAAUGGGGGAAACCCUGAUGCAGCGAACCGCCGCGUGAGUGAUUGAAGCAUUUCGGUGCGUAAAGCUCUAUCAGCAGGGAAGAUAAUGACGGUACCUGACUAAGAAGCCCCGGCUAACUACGUGCCAGCCGCCGC